GGUAGGGAAGCUUAAAAGUAAGCAUUGGUCUCUUAAACCACAUAAAGGUGAAUUAACGAUCACCCUCCA
rnacentral:tRNA from 1 species